GACGAACGCUGGCGGCGUGCCUAAUACAUGCAAGUCGAACGCAGUGGGGACGGGUGAGGAACACGUGGGUAACCUACCAUCAGAGGGGAGAAAACUUGGAAACAGGUGCAAAACCGAUACUGAUGGAUGGACCCGCGGUGCAUUAGCUAGUUGGGUAGGUAACGGCUCACCAAGGCCACGAUGCAUAGCCGACCUGAGAUGAUGAUCGGCCACACUGGGACUGAGACACGGCCCAGACUCCUACGGGAGGCAGCAGUAGGGAAUCUUCGGCAAUGGACGAAAGCCUGACCUAGCAACGCCGCGUGAGUGAAGAAGGUUUUCGGAUCGUAAAACUCUGUUGUUAGAGAAGCGGUAUCUAACCAGAAAGCCCCGGCUAACUCCGUGCCAGCAGCCGCGGUAAUAC
rnacentral:rRNA from 1 species